rnacentral:misc_RNA from 1 species
AGAAUAUGCUUGGUCAUGGAGAAGAAACCCGGGGUCGUUCUUGACGAGGAUGAAAAAGACGAGAAAGUAGAAAGCUCUGGAGACGUGAAGAAACCUCCAUCGGUUUCACUUGCAAAGGAGAAAAGAGCAAGAAAGAAAUCGGAAAGAUAUACUUACCUUGCAGCUGCAAUCUUGUCAAGUGUUGGCAUCACUUCAAUGGCAGCCAUGGCUAUUUAUUACAGAUUCUCAUGGCAAAUGGAGGGUGGAGAGUUCCCUGCAUUGGAAAUGUUUGGCACCUUUGUUUUGUCAGUAGGGGCCGCCGUGGGGAUGGAGUUUUGGGCAAGGUGGGCUCAUAAAGCUUUAUGGCAUGCUUCGUUAUGGAAAAUACACGAGUCUCACCAUAGAGCAAGGGAGGGUCCAAUUGAGAUGAACGACGCAUUUGCAAUAAUAAAUGCAGUUCCAGCAAUCGGUCUGUUGUCAUAUGGGCUUUUCAACAAAGCCUUAAUUCCUGGUCUAUGUUUCGGUGCUGGGCUCGGAAUAACAGUGUUUGGGAUGGCGUACAUGUUCGUACAUGAUGGUUUAAUCCACCGUCGUUUCCCAGUAGGACCUAUUGCCGACGUCCCCUACUUGCGAAGAGUUGCUGCUGCUCAUCAGCUUCACCACUCGGACAAAUUUAAUGGGGUUCCUUAUGGAUUGUUUUUGGGACCUAAGGAACUAGAAGGCACAGAAGGAGGCAUAGAAGAAUUGGACAAGGAGGUCCAAA